rnacentral:rRNA from 1 species
CCUACGGGUGGCAGCAGUGAGGAAUAUUGGUCAAUGGGCGCAAGCCUGAACCAGCCACGCCGCGUGAAGGAUGACUGCCCUACGGGUUGUAAACUCCUUUUAUACAGGAGUAAAGUGAGAUACGUGUGUGUAUUUGUAUGUACUGUACGUAUAAGGAUCGGCUAACCCCGUGCCAUCAGCCGCGGUAAUACGGAGGAUCCGAGCGUUAUCCGGAUUUAUUGGGUUUAAAGUGAGCGUAGGCGGGUUGUUAAGUUAGUUGUGAAAGGUUGGGGCUGAACUUGAGAAUUGCAAGUGAUACUGGCAGACUAGAGUACAGGUGAGGAAGGCGGAAUUCGUGGUGUAGCGGUGAAAUGCUUAGAUAUCAGGAAGAACACCGAUUGCGAAGGCAGCUUACUAAACUGCAACUGACGUUGAGGCGCGAAAGUGUGGGUAGCAAACAGGAUUAGAUACCCUAGUAGUC